rnacentral:rRNA from 1 species
GAAGUAUGAGUUAGUGGCGGACGGGUGAGUAACGCGUGGAAAACCUGCCGUAUACUGGGGGAUAACACUUAGAAAUAGGUGCUAAUACCGCAUAAGCGCACAGCUUCGCAUGAAGCAGUGUGAAAAACUGAGGUGGUAUACGAUGGUUCCGCGUCUGAUUAGCUAGUUGGUGGGGUAAAAGCCUACCAAGGCAACGAUCAGUAGCCGGCCUGAGAGGGUGAACGGCCACAUUGGGACUGAGACACGGCCCAAACUCCUACGGGAGGCAGCAGUGGGGAAUAUUGCACAAUGGGGGAAACCCUGAUGCAGCGACGCCGCGUGAGUGAAGAAGUAUUUCGGUAUGUAAAGCUCUAUCAGCAGGGAAGAAAUACUGACCAUAGGGUCAGCAGACGGUACUUGACUAAGAAGCCCCGGCUAACUACGUGCCAGCAGCCGCGGUAAUACGUAGGGGGCAAGCGUUAUCCGGAUUUACUGGGUGUAAAGGGAGCGUAGACGGCAGCGCAAGUCUGAAGUGAAAUGCCAGGGCUUAACCCUGGAACUGCUUUGGAAACUGUGCAGCUAGAGUGCAGGAGAGGUAAGUGGAAUUUCUAGUGUAGCGGUGAAAUGCGUAGAUAUUAGGAGGAACACCAGUGGCGAAGGCGGCUUACUGGACUGUAACUGACGUUGAGGCUCGAAAGCGUGGGGAGCAAACAGGAUUAGAUACCCUGGUAGUCCACGCUGUAAACGAUGAUUACUAGGUGUUGGGGGACCAAGGUUCUUCGGUGCCGUCGCAAACGCAAUAAGUAAUCCACCUGGGGAGUACGUUCGCAAGAAUGAAACUCAAAGGAAUUGACGGG